UACAGAGGUGGCAAGCGUUGUUCGGAAUUACUGGGCGUAAAGGGCGCGUAGGCGGCCAUCUAAGUCAGACGUGAAAUCCCCCGGCUUAACCUGGGAACUGCGUCUGAUACUGGACGGCUUGAGCAUGGGAGAGGGAUGUAGAAUUCCAGGUGUAGCGGUGAAAUGCGUAGAUAUCUGGAGGAAUACCGGUGGCGAAGGCGGCAUCCUGGACCAUUACUGACGCUGAUGCGCGAAAGCUAGGGGAGCAAACGGG
rnacentral:rRNA from 1 species